ACCUGUAUCGAAAGUGCCGUCGGCGCGCCCCGUCGCCCCCGGCAUCGAUAGUACAGGAAGAGAAAGCCUCUCCGGCUUUUCCCGUGUCCGACGGACUGUUCCGGUCGGACCCUGGCGCCGGCGCACA